rnacentral:rRNA from 1 species
AUUGAACGCUGGCGGAAUGCUUUACACAUGCAAGUCGAACGGCAGCACGGGGGCAACCCUGGUGGCGAGUGGCGAACGGGUGAGUAAUACAUCGGAACGUGCCCAGCCGUGGGGGAUAACGUAGCGAAAGUUACGCUAAUACCGCAUACGAUCUACGGAUGAAAGCGGGGGACCGUAAGGCCUCGCGCGAUUGGAGCGGCCGAUGUCAGAUUAGGUAGUUGGUGAGGUAAAGGCUCACCAAGCCGACGAUCUGGAGCUGGUCUGAGAGGACGACCAUCCGCACUGGGACUAAGACGCGGCCCAGACUCCUACGGGAGGAAGCAGUGGGGAAUUUUGGACAAUGGGCGCAAGCCUGAUCCAGCCAUUCCGCGUGCAGGACGAAGGCCUUCGGGUUGUAAACUGCUUUUGUACGGAACGAAAAGGCUCUGGUUAAUACCUGGGGCUCAUGACGGUACCGUAAGAAUAAGCACCGGCUAACUACGUGCCAGCCGCCGCGGUAA